UGUUGUAAAUACAUCUUUUGUAAAUAUAUAGAUUUUUUUAAUAUUUAAACGCAAAUAAGAAUGGAUAAUAAGAGUAUCAAUCCAACUAAUAAUGUGGAAGAUGAGUGUAAUUUUGUGGAGUGCGAGAAUACACCAAAAUCACCGCUAUCACCAAUUUUAAACACCAGUAAAUCUUUAAAUAAAAUUCGUAGAAAUAAGAAACAUAAACGUAAAUCCUGUGAUAUAUUUGAUGCUAAAGAAGUAUUAAGGACAGCUGGCGAUGAAAGUACUUCAAACGCAGAGUUUAGUAAUAAAUAUGAUGCUGUUGGGAAUUCUAAAGAUACACUAAACAUAUUUAGUCGAAUAUAUGAACUUGAAAAAGCUGAAGAACAGAAUCAGAAUACUAUCAAACUAUUAAGUACAAAAGCAACUUUACUAGCUGAAAAUACCAAGGUACAUCAUGAUAAAAAACUAGUUCCGCAGCUAGGUUCAAUAAGUACUGAUAUUAAUUGUACACAUUUGUCUAUGAAGGAUUGUGUGAAAAGUGAUCAAACUAAAUUAGAUCAACCGAACCUCCUCAUCGGUUUUCAGACUUGUACAGGUAAAAAAAUUGAGAUGUGUAAAGACAAAGUACAGAUGCAUUCUAAGUUAUUCGAUGAUAUCUUAUAUAAUAAUGUUCCACAUGAUAAGAGUAAAAAAUUUAAUUACUUACGACAUAAACCAGCAAUGGAAGAUAACUCAAGAAUAGAUGUUGAUACUCCAUCUAAUUUUGGAAAUAUUGAUCAGGGAGUCAAAUAUGCAGAUUCUGAUGAUAGAUCAAAAAGAAUCCAUGGAGUGGGAAAAGAUUCUUUGAAAAAUUCAUUAAUUGAAGAUAAUAACAGAAAUAAUUUUAGAUCGCCAUUAAAAAAUACUUGUCAUGAUGAAGAUUUUAGUGAUCUUCAAGAAUAUACCUUGGAAAGUUUGAAUCCAAUACUGCCUGUACAUGUAAAAAAAUCUGGUAGUUCUAGACAACUUUUUAAAAUUAAUUGCGAAAAUACCCUUUCUGUACCUUCUGGGAGCUGUUCUAUAAAUAAAGCGGCUAUAAAUAAAUCAAGUAAAAACAUCUUUGCUGGAGAAAACUUUGAUGAUCUUAAAACAAGUGAUUUUCAAGGCUUUAAAGUAGCAUCAUCUAGUUUAACAACACUUGAAGACACAUAUAAAGUUACUUGGGGAAAAGAUAACAUACAUCAGCACAAAGAUGAAAAUUCUAAACAUUUUUGUGAAGAUAAAAAUUAUAUUAAUGCUGAAAAUUCUAUCUUAAAUCAUGUUAAUAUUUUUAAAGAUGAAAAUUUUGAUGGUUUGGGAAUAAGAAAUUUUAAAGUUAAUAAUAAAAGUGCCACGUCUGAAACCAUUUCUAUAAAUAAAACGGUGGUAAAUAAAUCAAGUAAUAAUAUCUUUGGUGGAGAAAACUUUGAUGAUCUCAAAACAAACAAUUUUGAAGGCUUUAAAGUAGCAUCGACUAGUUUAGCAGCAUUUGAAGACACAUAUAAAGUUGGUUUGGGAAAAGAUAACAUAUAUCAACACAGAGAUGAAAAUUCAAAAUAUUUGAGUGCAGAUCAAAAUGCAAUGAAUGAUGAAAAUUGUGUUUCAAUUCACGUUAAUAUAUUUAACGGUGAAAAUUUUGAUGAUUUAGGAGUAAGAAAUUUUGAAGGAUUUAAAGCAGCAACUACAUCAUUAAAGCAAGCUCAGAUCACUGACAAUUGUAAUGAAGAAAAGAAGUCAAUUCAUCCAAAUCCAUUUCCAAAUCAAAAUAUUAAGGCUGCUACACAUUUUCCAGAAAGAAGGUCAAAUUUUAGAAACAUAUUUGAAGGGGAGAAUUUUGAUGACUUAAAUAUGAAUUUAGCUAAUAUACAUAAUGUUGCUAGAUCUGUUAGUCAUUUCAAACCAGCAAAUAUUGAAAAAGGUGAAAAUACAUAUGAAGCUUUGGAAGGAAACAAAGUCAAUAAUGUUGUGCCUUUGUCGAGGACUAGCAAAUUACAAAGUAAUAAAAAACCUUUUACAUGUCCAUAUAAACUAAAAAAUCUUAGUACAACAAUUGAAGUCAGAGAAGACCAGGAACAAUUUUUGGGGUUUUACAAUACAGAGCAAGAUAUAAGCGAGAAAAUAUCAGAGAGCUAUUGUGAUAUUAUUAACAUUAUUAGUAACAAAUUUAAUAAUAUUAAAAGAACAAGAAGUAAAAAAAGUUUAUUAAACACAAAAAAUAUAGAAAAUUUGGCCAAAAUUGUGCGAUUAAAAUCGGACGAAUUAUUAUCAAAAGCUGAUAUAAAGGUCAGAAGUGAUAAAAAUAAUAAAAGAAAGUUUUCUGAAUUAGAAUCAGACCAAUAUAAUCAAGUCAGUGAAAAAAAUAUUGUUGGUACUCCUAUAAAUAACAACUCAAAAAGAUCUAGGAGAAGACUAGGAUGUAAUUUUUCUCCAACAAUCCUUAUAGAUCAGUCGGAAUAUAAAAAGGCUCAACAUAUCUUUGACGACAUCCUGUCCAAACCGACAACGUCAACACCAAUGAAACAGAACGAAUCGAGUUACAAACCUAUAGCAUGUGAUUUAACUCCUAUACAAAAUAGUAAACUAGCUUUAAGAAGGGAGUAUAUGAGUGAAAGUAAUUUAUCAGAUAGUUAUCAAACAGCAGUAAAAGACCAAACGUUAGUGAACGAAUUCAAUUCGAAUACUCGCUACAAUCUAAAUAGACCAACUAAUGGAGAUGUCUCUGUAUGGAUAGAAAAUUUACUAUCAGAGAGAAAAGCGCUAGAAGAAAAGUUAGAAGUUAUAAAAGAGAAAGAGAAUCUACUAAAUAGUCAGAAAUAUGAGAUACAACAAAGUCAAGUCAAAAGAGAAAUACUGUAAAACCCGGUAUAUUAUACAGCUCAAAACUAAAUAAACCCAGAAAGUUAUCAUUAAAAGAUGUUAUAGGUAAUGAAUGGAUUGAAGAAAUGGACGGAGGCCUUAUAAAUCAAGUUAACCCUCAAAACGCUCAUUUAGUUCAUUUUGUUUUAGAUAAAAGAAUUUCUCAUCAAAGAACACAGGAUGGCGCUAUU
rnacentral:misc_RNA from 1 species